AUGGGAUUACUCCAGUCGUCUUCCUCCAGCUCGCGCGUAGCCUGGGUGCUGCUGCUGCUGCUGCUUUGCUUCUGCGAGCUUCCAUUCAGAGCACACGGAGGAGGUUCUCGCAAGCUCUAUAUAGCUUACUUAGGUCAUGUGAAGCAUGAUGAUCCCAGCGAUGUCGUCGCAUCGCACCAUGAUCUGCUCACCUCUCUCCUCGAAAGCAAGGAAGAAUCUUUGGCCUCCGUGGUGUACAACUAUAAGCAUGGCUUCUCGGGGUUCGCCGCCAUGCUCACCACAGAGCAAGCGAAAGAACUUGCAGAGUUUCCGGAAGUAAUCAGUGUCCAACCGAGUAAAAGGCACACGCCAACCACCACACGGAGCUGGGACUUUCUUGGGCUCAACCACCAGAUGACGGGCAGUGAUAUGCUCCACGGAAGCAGCUCUGGAGGAGAGGACGUGAUCAUCGGGGUGAUCGACACCGGGAUCUGGCCGGAGUCGAGAAGCUUCAACGACGCAGGCUACGGGCCGGUGCCAUCAAGGUGGAAAGGGAAGUGCCAGGUCGGACACGACUGGGGCAGCACAAACUGCAGCCGUAAGAUCAUCGGUGCACGGUUCUAUAGCGCGGGAGUACCUGACCAGUUCCUCGAGACGGACUCGCUCUCGCCCCGGGACCAUAACGGUCACGGCACACAUUGUGCGUCCACUGCCGCCGGCUCGGCCGUGGAGGCGGCCAGCUUCCACGGCCUAGCCAAGGGGGUCGCUCGGGGAGGCGCAACGCGUGCUCGCAUCGCGGUGUACAAGUCCUUCUGGGGCCUUGGCUUCGGGAACACAGCGACCGUGCUGGCAGCCAUCGACGACGCGAUCCAUGACGGAGUGGACGUGUUGUCGAUGUCCUUCGGUGUCGACGAGAACUCGUUCGGCGUCCUGCACGCGGUCCAGAAAGGGAUCACCGUCGUGUAUGCGGGGGGUAACGAGGGGCCAAGGCCACAGACAGUUAGGAACGGUGCGCCGUGGGCUAUCACCGUUGCGGCUAGCAAGAUUGAUCGGUCAUUUCCGACGAUGAUCACGCUGGGAAGCAAACAACAGAUAGUGGGACAGUCUCUCUAUUACCGAGGGAAGAAUUCGUCAAAGAGCAGCAGUGGUUUCAAAGGUCUUGUGGUUCCAGUGAGUUGUGACAUGGAAAUUCUCAAUGGCACGGACGUGAAAGGGCAGAUCCUGUUCUGCACCAUGCAGCCAGGGGAUCAAGAUGUGUUCCAGCAGUCAUCACAGUACGUCCGGGAUGGUGGGGGAUCUGGUGUCAUCUUUGCCCAGUAUACCACGGACCUAAGCUUCACAGCACUAGAUGUCUGCAAGGGCAUAGCCUGCGUUCUCGUGGACCUCGACAUCGGAAAGAAGAUCGCCAGCUACAUGGACGACGCAAGCUCUCCAAUGGUGAAGAUCGAACCGGCGCGAACCAUCACGGGGAAGGAAACACUGGCACCAAAAGUGGCCAUGUUCUCCUCGAGGGGUCCGUCGCCUGAUUAUCCCGCCAUUAUCAAGCCUGACAUAGCGGCACCUGGAGUCAACAUCUUGGCGGCAAAGGAAAAUUCGUAUGCAAUUUUGUCGGGGACGUCGAUGGCAGCCCCACAUGUAGCAGGCGUUGUUGCCCUGCUGAAAGCUCUUCACCCAAACUGGUCAUCUGCUGCAAUCAAAUCAGCCAUUGUCACUACCGCCCAUACAACCGAUGAGCACGGAAUGCCGAUACUGGCGGAAGGGCUGCCUCGGAAGAUUGCCGACCCGUUCGACUACGGAGGCGGCAACAUCAACCCUUGUGGGGCAGCUGAUCCGGGCCUGGUUUACGACAUUGAUUCACAAGAUUACGAUAAAUACUUCCGCUGCACCAUUGUCAAGAAGGCCUCCGUGCACUGCAACACGACGGGAAUGCUACCGGCAUACCACCUGAACUUGCCGUCCAUCUCGGUUCCCAACCUAAGGAGUCCGGUCACCGUGUCAAGGACGGUGACAAACGUUGGGGAUGUCGAUUCCAUGUACCAUGUAGAAAUCCAGAGCCCUGUCGGAGUAAGGAUGGAGGUUGAUCCACCUGUACUAGUGUUUGAUGCGAAGAACAAGGUUCGCAUGUUUCGAGUGAAAUUGUCCCCUGUGUGGAAGCUACAAGGGGAUUACACUUUUGGCAGCCUUACAUGGGGUAAUGAUCAGAAGGUGGUGAGGAUUCCAGUUGCGGCCCGGAUUACAAUUCAGGAUUUCUAUGCAGAUGUUGCAUAG
rnacentral:rRNA from 1 species